rnacentral:rRNA from 1 species
AACGAACGCUGGCGGCAGGCCUAACACAUGCAAGUCGAGCGCACCGCCAGGGGUGCGGCGGACGGGUGAGUAGCGCAUGGGAACGUACCCUUUUCUAUGGACUAGCCUCGGGAAACUGGGAGUAAUACCGUAUGUGUCCUUAGGGCGAAAGAGUUAUCGGCAUGGGAUCGGGCCGCGUUGGAUUUGGUAGUUGGUGGGGUAAUGGCCUACCAUGGCGGCGAUCCAUUGCUGGGUUGGUAUCAUGAUCCGCUGCACUGGGACUGAGACACGGCCCAGACUCCGACGGGAGGCAGCAGUGGGUAAUCUUAGACAAUGGGCGCAAACCUGAUAAAGCCGUGUGGCGUGAGAGAUGAAGGCCGUAGGAUUGUGAAGCUCUUUCAGAGGAGAAGAUAAUGACUGUACCCCCAGAAGAAGCCCCGGCUAACUCCGUG